UACAGAGGUCUCAAGCGUUGUUUGGAUUCAUUGGGCGUAAAGGGUGCGUAGGUGGCGGGGUAAGUCAGGUGUGAAAUUUCGGAGCUUAACUCCGAAACUGCAUUUGAUACUGCCUUGCUUGAGGACUGGAGAGGAGAUUGGAAUUCACGGUGUAGCAGUGAAAUGCGUAGAUAUCGUGAGGAAGACCAGUGGCGAAGGCGGAUCUCUGGACAGUUCCUGACACUGAGGCACGAAGGCCAGGGGAGCAAACGGG
rnacentral:rRNA from 1 species